AUUCAAAGAAUGAAGAACACACGAGAAAUUGUCUUGCUUGUCUCUCCUGGUAACCUAACCUAUAUCAUUUUCAGCCUAAAAUUCACCAGCAGAAAGGUUAUAGUUUCCAAAGAGAGAUAAAGCAAGCAGCAAGUGUAGGGCAAGUACUGUAGCCUAUCAAACCAAGAGUUAUCAACUGGUCUUUAAAAAGAUCACAACUGCUGCCGCC